rnacentral:lncRNA from 1 species
CUCAAGUCCUACUCAAUUAACUGUAUAAUUCCAGGUACCUGUCUGGAAGAGAAGAAGAACUACGUUCCCCAAGAGCCUUUUUGAGUACUGUUAUCAUUCCUGCUCAAGGGAGCAGAUAUAAGGGCGCAGGUCAUCUGACUCGUUCCUCUCUUCUCGUCUCGCCGUGUUCCCUGUCGGAUCGGCUCACUACUGCUGCUCCUGACUGCACACAAGGUUUCAGUGCUAG